UACGUAGGGUGCAAGCGUUAUUCGGAAUUAUUGGGCGUAAAGGGCGCGUAGGCGGCUUUGCAAGUGGCGGGUGAAAUCCCUCGGCUUAACCGAGGAACUGCCUGCCAGACUGUGAGGCUUGAGACCGGGAGAGGUGAGUGGAAUUCCCAGUGUAGCGGCGGAAUGCGUAGAGAUCGGGAAGAACAUCAGUGGCGAAGGCGGCCUGCUGGGCUGUUGCUGACGCUGAGGCGCGACAGCGUGGGGGAGCAAACAGG
rnacentral:rRNA from 1 species